rnacentral:rRNA from 1 species
UGGGGAAUAUUGCGCAAUGGGCGAAAGCCUGACGCAGCGACGCCGCGUGAGGGAUGAAGGUUUUCGGAUCGUAAACCUCUGUCAGAAGGGAAGAAACCGCACUGUGCUAAUCAGCAGUGCCUUGACGGUACCUUCAAAGGAAGCACCGGCUAACUCCGUGCCAGCAGCCGCGGUAAUACGGAGGGUGCAAGCGUUAAUCGGAAUUACUGGGCGUAAAGCGCACGUAGGCUGCUUUGUAAGUCAGGGGUGAAAUCCCACGGCUCAACCGUGGAACUGCCUUUGAUACUGCUUAGCUUGAAUCCGGGAGAGGGUGGCGGAAUUCCAGGUGUAGGAGUGAAAUCCGGAGAUAUCUGGAGGAACAUCAGUGGCGAAGGCGGCCACCUGGACCGGUAUUGACGCUGGGGUGCGAAAGCGUGGGGAGCAAACAGG